GUUCUUUUGUUCUGUUAUGAGAUUUCAAUGAUGGUCGGUUUUGUUCCGAUACAAGAUUUCAAUGACAGUCAGUUUUAUUCGUUUAUGAGAUCUCAAUGACGGUCAGUUUUGUUCCUUUAUCACAUUUCAAUAACAGUCAGUUUUCAUUGUCAGUCACAAGAUGUCAAUUCGGUAUGUUUUGUUCUUUUAUGAGAUUUUAAUGACAGUUGCUUUUGAUCAACAACUUCAAUGAUGCUUGGUUUUGUUCUGUUAUGAGAUUUCAAUGACGGUUGAUUUUGUUCCUUUACAAGAUUUAAAUGAUGGCCAUUUUUUCCAUUAUGAAAUUUCAAUGCCACUUGGCUUAGUUUCUUAAUGAGAUUUUAAUGACGGUCGGCUUUGUUUCUUAAUGAGAUUUCAAUGAUGGUAGGUUUUCAGUGUCAGUUUUUUUUCUGUUAUAAGAUUUCAAUGACAGUCGGUUUGUUCUGUUGCGAGUUUUCAGUGAUAGCCGGUUAUAUACCGUUGUGAGUUUUCAAUGAUAGCCGGUUAUAUUCGGUUACAAGAUUUCAAUGACAUCUGUUUUAUUCGGUUAUGAGAUUUCAAUGAUAGUCGGUUUUCAAUGAUAGAUCUGAAUGAUGGUAGGUUUUCAGUGUCAGUCAGUUUUUUUCUGUUAUAAGAUUUCAAAAACGGUCUGUUUUGUUCCUUUGUUUUUUUAUGAGAUUUCAAAGACAGUCGGUUUUGUUCCUUUACGAGAUUUGAGUGACAGUCGGAUUUGUUCAGUUACGAGAUUUCAAUGACGGUCGGUUUUGUUUUUUUGCAAGAUCUCAAUGACGAUCGGUUUUGUUCCUUUUCAAGACAUCAAUGAGUUGAUUUUGUUCCUUUACAACAUUUGAAUGACGGUCAGGUUUUGAUCUUUUGUUUUUUUAUGAGAUUUCAAAGAUGGUCGGUUUGUUCUUUUUUUUUUUUUUAUAAGAUUUAAAAGACAGUCAGUUUUGUUUCGUUACAAGAUCUCAUUGCUCUCAGUGAUGAUAGAUUUUGGUGGGUUAUGAGAUCUCAGUGAUGGUAGGUUUUGUGGGGUAUGAGAUCUCAAUGACAGUCAGUUUUGGUGGGUUAGAGAUCUCAAUGAUGGUUGGUUUUGCUAGGUUAUGAGAUUUCAAUGAUGGUCAUUGAAGUCUGACUUUUUCAGUUACAAUAUUUCAAAGACAGUCGGUUUUGUUCCUUUUUUUUGUAAGAUUUAAAAGACAGUCGGUUUUGUUUCGUUACGAGAUUUUAAUGACGGUCGGUUUUGUUCCUUUCUUUUGUAAGAUUUAAAAGACAGUUGGUUUUGUUUCGUUACGAGAUCUCAAUGACGGUCGAUUUUGGUGGGUUACGAGAUGUCAAUGAUGGUCAGUUUUGGUUGGUUAUGAGACCUCAAUGGUAGAUUUUCAGUGUAAGUUUUUUUUUCCGUUAUAAGAUUUUAAAGACGGUCAGUUUUGUUCCUUUGUUUUUUUAUGAGAUUUCAAAGACAGUCGGUUUUGUUCUGUUACAAAAUCUCAAUGACGGUUGGUUUUGCUAGGUUAUGAGAUUUCAAUGAUGGUCGGUUUUGGUGGGUUACGAGAUCUCAAUGACGGUUGGGUUUGCUAGGUUAUGAGAUUUCAAUGAUGGUUGGUUUUGGUGGGUUACGAGACCUCAAUGAUGGUAGGUCAUUUUUUUUCUGUUAUAAGAUUUUAAAGACGGUCAGUUUUGUUCCUUUGUUUUUUUAUGAGAUCUCAAAGACAGUUGGUUUUGUUCUUUUACGAGAUUUGAGUGAUGGUCGGAUUUGUUCAGUUACGAGAUUUCAAUGACGGUCUGACUUGUUCAGUUACAAUAUUUCAAAGACAGUCGGUUUUGUUUCAUUAGGAGAUUUCAAUGAUGGUCGGUUACAAGAUUUCAGUGAGGGUCAGUUCUGCUGGGUUAUGAGACCUCAGUGAUGGUAGGUGUUGUUGGGUUACGAGAUCUCAAUGACGGUGGUUUUGGUGGGUUACAAGAUGUUAAUGACGAUUUGUUUUGCUAGGUUAUGAGAGUUCAUUGAUGGUCAGUUUUGGUGGGUUGAUCUCAGUGAUGGUAGGUUUUGGUUGGUUACGAGAUCUCAGUGAUGGUCAGUUCUGCUGGGUUACGAGAUCUCAGUGAUGGUAGGUUUUGUUGGGUUACGAGAUCUCAAUGUCGGUUGGUUUUGCUAGUUUAUGAGAUUACAAUGACGGUUGGUUUUGGUGGGUUACGAGAUCUGAAUGACGGUUGGUUUUGCUAGGUUAUGAGAUUUCAAAGACAGUCGGUUUUGUUCCUUUACGAGAUUUGAGUGACGGUCAGAUUUGUUCAGUUAUGAGAUUGUAAUGAUGGUCAGACUUGUUCAGGUACAAUAUUUCAAAGACAGUCUGUUUUGUUUCGUUACGAGAUUUCAAUGACGGUCGGUUACGAGUUGGUUUUGCUAGUUUAUGAGAUUUCAAAGACAGUCAGUUUUGUUCCUUUAUGAGAUUUGAGUUCCUUUGAGUCGAUUUUGUUCCUUUUUUUUAUAAAAUUUAAAAGACAGUUGGUUUUGUUUCGUUACGAGAUCUCAAUGACGGUCGAUUUUGGUGGGUUACGAGAUCUCAAUGAUGGUCAGUUUUGGUUGGUUAUGAGACCUCAAUGGUAGAUUUUCAGUGUAAGUUUUUUUUUUCCGUUAUAAGAUUUUAAAGAUGGUCAGUUUUGUUCCUUUGUUUUUUUAUGAGAUUUCAAAGACAGUCAGUUUUGUUCUGUUACAAAAUCUCAAUGACGGUUGGUUUUGCUAGGUUAUGAGAUUUCAAUGAUGGUCGGUUUUGGUGGGUUACGAGAUCUCAAUGACGGUUGGGUUUGCUAGAUUAUGAGAUUUCAAUGAUGGUUGGUUUUGGUGGGUUACGAGACCUCAAUGAUGGUAGGUCAUUUUUAUUUCUGUUAUAAGAUUUUAAAGACGGUCAGUUUUGUUCCUUUGUUUUUUUAUGAGAUUUCAAAGACAGUCGGUUUUGUUCUUUUACGAGAUUUGAGUGAUGGUCGGAUUUGUUCAGUUACGAGAUUUCAAUGACGGUCUGACUUGUUCAGUUACAAUAUUUCAAAGACAGUCGGUUUUGUUUCAUUAGGAGAUUUCAAUGACGGUCGGUCAUUUUUUUCUGUUAUAAGAUUUUAAAGACGGUCAGUUUUGUUCCUUUACGAGAUUUGAGUGACGGUCAGAUUUGUUCAGUUACAAGAUUUAAAUGACGGUCGGACUUGUUCAGUUACAAUAUUUUAAAGACAGUUGAUUUUUUUCUUUUGGUAAGAUUUAAAAGACAGUCGGAUUUGUUUCAUUAUGAGUUUUUGAUGACGGUUGGUUACGUGAUCUCAGUGAUGGUAGGUUUUGUUGGGUUACGAUAUCUCAAUGACGGCCAGUUUUGGUGGGUUACGAGAUCUCAGUGACGGUUGCUUUUGCUAGGUUAUGAGAUUACAAUGAUUGUUGGUUUUGGUGGGUUACGAGAUCUCAGUGAUGGUAGAUUUUGUUGCAUUAUGAGAUCUAAAUGAUGGUCGGUUUUGGUGGGUUACGAGAUGUCAAUGACGGUCGGUUUUGUUCGGUUUUGAGAGUUCAAUGAUGGUUGGCUUUGGUGGUUUACGAGACCUCAAUGAUGGUAAGUUUUCAGUGUCAGUUGUUUUUUUUCCCUUUAUAAGAUUUUAAAGACGGUCAGUUUGUUCCUUUACGAGACUUGAAUGACGGUCAGAUUUGUUCAGUUACGAGAUUUCAAUGACAGUCAGACUUGCUCAGAUACAAUAUUUCAAAGACAGGCAGUUUUAUUCCCUUUUUUUAUAAGAUUUAAAAGACAGUUGGUUUUGUUUCGUUACGAGAUUUCAAUGAUGGUCGGUUACGAGAUCUCAUUGAUCUCAAUGAUGGUAGAUUUUCUUGGGUUACGAGAUGUCAAUUACGAUUCGUUUUGCUAGGAUAUGAGAGCUCAUUGUAGGUCAGUUUUGGUGGGUUACGAGAUCUCAGUGAUGGUCGGUUUUGUUGGGUUACAAGAUCUCAAUGACAGUUGGUUUUGCUAGUUUAAGAGAUUUCAAUGAUGGUUGGUUUUGGCGGGUUACGAGAUCUGAAUGACGGUUGGUUUUGCUAGAUUAUGAGAUUUCAAAGAUGGUCGGUUUUGGUGGGUUACGAGACCUCAGUGAUGGUAGGUCGUUUGGUUUGGUUUGGUUGCAAUAUUUUAAAGACAGUCAAUUUUUUUCCUUUUUUUUUGUAAGAUUUAAAAGUCUGAUUUGUUUCGCUACGAGAUCUCAGUGAUGGUAGGUUUUGUUGGGUUACAAGAUCUCAAUGACGGUCGGUUUUGGUGGGUUACGAGAUCUCAGUGAUGGUAGGUUUUGUUGUAUUACGAGAUCUAAAUGACGGUCGGUUUUGGUGGGUUACGAGAUGUCAACGACGGUUGGUUUUGCUAGGUUUUGAGAGUUCAAUGAUGGUCGGUUUUGGUGGGUUACAAGACCUCAAUGAUGGUAGGUUUUCAGUGUCAGUUGUUUUUUUUCUGUUACAAGAUUUUCGUUGUUGCGUUACGAGAUUUCAAUGACGGUCGGUUACAAGAUCUUAUUGAUCUCAAUGAUGGUAGGUUUUGGUGGGUUAUGAGAUCUCAAUGAUGGUAGGUUUUGGUGGGUUACGAGACCUCAAUGAUGGUAGGUUUUCAGUGUCAGUUUUUUUUUUCGGUUAUAAGAUUUUAAAGACGGUCAGUUUGUUCCUUUGUUUUUUUAUGAGAUUUCAAAGACAGUCAGUUUUGUUUCUUUAUGAGAUUUGAGUGACGGUCAGAUUUGUUCAGCUACAAGAUUUUAAUGACAGUUGGACUUGUUCAGGUACAAUAUUUCAAAGACAGUCUGUUUUGUUUCGUUACGAGAUUUCAAUGACGGUCGGACUUGUUCAGGUACAAUAUUUCAAAGACAGUCUGUUUUGUUUCGUUACGAGAUUUCAAUGAUGGUCGGUUACAAGAUUUCAGUGAUCUAAGCGAUGGUAGGUUUUGGUGGGUUACGAGAUCUCAGUGAUGGUCGGUUUUGGUGGGUUACGAGAUCUCAGUGAUGGUCGGUUUUGCUAGUUUAUGAGAUUUCAAUGAUGGUCGGUUUUGUUGGGUUACGAGAUCUCAGUGACUGUUGGUUUUGCUAGGUUAUGAGACCUCAAUGAUGGUAGAUCGUUUUUUUCUGUCAUAAGAUUUUAAAGACGGUCAGUUUUGUUCCUUUGUUUUUUUAUGAGAUUUCAAAGACAGUGGUUUUUUUUUCAGUUACAAGAUCUCAAUGACGGUUGGUUUUACUAGGUUAUGAGAUUUCAAUGAUGGUCGGUUUUGGUGGGUUAUGAGACUUUAAUGAUGGUAAGUAGUUUUUUUUCUGUUAUAAGAUUUUAAAGAUGGUCGGUUUUGAUCCUUUGUUUUUUUAUGAGAUUUCAAAGACAGUCAGUUUUGUUUCUUUUUUUUAUAAGAUUUAAAAGACAGUCAGUUUUGCUUCGUUACGAGAUUACAAUGACGCUCGGUUACGAGUCGGACGGUCGGUUACGAGAUCUCAUUGAUCUCAGUGAUGGUAGGUUUUGGUGGGUUACGAGACCUCAAUGAUGGUAGGUCGUUUUUUUUCUGUUAUAAGAUUUUAAAGAUGGUCAGUUUUGAUCCUUUGUUUUUUUAUGAGAUUUCAAAGACAGUCAGUUUUGUUCCUUUUUUUUUAUAUAAGAUUUAAAAGACAGUCGGUUUUGUUUCGUUACGAGAUUUCAAUGACGGUCGGACUUGUUCAGGUACAAUAUUUCAAAGACAGUCUGUUUUGUUUCGUUACGAGAUUUCAAUGACGGUCGGACUUGUUCAGGUACAAUAUUUCAAAGACAGUCUGUUUUGUUUCGUUACGAGAUUUCAAUGGCGGUCAGACUUGUUCAGUUACAAUAUUUCAAAGACAGUCUGUUUUGUUUCGUUAUGAGAUUUCAAUGACGGUCGGUUACGAGAUUUCAGUGAUCUCAGCAAUGGUAGGUUUUGGUGGGUUACGAGACCUCAAUGAUGGUAGGUUUUCAGUGUCAGUUUUUUUUUUUCGGUUAUAAGAUUUUAAAGACGGUCAGUUUGUUCCUUUGUUUUUUUAUGAGAUUUCAAAGACAGUCAGUUUUGUUUCUUUAUGAGAUUUGAGUGACGGUCAGAUUUGUUCAGCUACAAGAUUUUAAUGACAGUUGGACUUGUUCAGGUACAAUAUUUCAAAGACAGUCUGUUUUGUUUCGUUACGAGAUUUCAAUGACGGUCGGACUUGUUCAGGUACAAUAUUUCAAAGACAGUCUGUUUUGUUUCGUUACGAGAUUUCAAUGACGGUCGGACUUGUUCAGGUACAAUAUUUCAAAGACAGUCUGUUUUGUUUCAUUACGAGAUUUCAAUGAUGGUCGGUUACGAGAUUUCAGUGAUCUAAGCGAUGGUAGGUUUUGGUGGGUUACGAGAUCUCAGUGAUGGUCGGUUUUGGUGGGUUACGAGAUCUCAGUGAUGGUCGGUUUUGCUAGUUUAUGAGAUUUCAAUGAUGGUCGGUUUUGUUGGGUUACGAGAUCUCAGUGACUGGUUUUGCUAGGUUAUGAGACCUCAAUGAUGGUAGAUCGUUUUUUUCUGUCAUAAGAUUUUAAAGACGGUCAGUUUUGUUCCUUUGUUUUUUUAUGAGAUUUCAAAGACAGUGGUUUUUUUUUCAGUUACAAGAUCUCAAUGACGGUUGGUUUUACUAGGUUAUGAGAUUUCAAUGAUGGUCGGUUUUGGUGGGUUAUGAGACUUUAAUGAUGGUAAGUAGUUUUUUUUUCUGUUAUAAGAUUUUAAAGAUGGUCGGUUUUGUUCCUUUGUUUUUUUUUAUGAGAUUUCAAAGACAGUCAGUUUUGUUCAGUUACAAGAUCUCAAUGACGGUUGGUUUUGCUAGAUUAUGAGAUUUCAAUGAUGGUCAGUUUUGGUGGGUUACGAGAUUUCAAUGAUGGUCGGUUUUGGUGGGUUACGAGACCUCAAUGAUGGUAGGUCGUUUUUUUUCUGUUAUAAGAUUUUAAAGAUGGUCAGUUUUGAUCCUUUGUUUUUUUAUGAGAUUUCAAAGACAGUCGGUUUUGUUCCUUUUUUUUUAUAUAAGAUUUAAAAGACAGUCGGUUUUGUUUCGUUACGAGAUUUUAAUGACGUUCGGUUACGAGUCGGACGGUCAGUUACAAGAUCUUAUUGAUGGUAGGUUUUGGUGGGUUACGAGAUCUCAGUGAUGGUCUGUUUUGGCGGGUUACGAGAUCUAAAUGAUGGUCGGUUUUGGUGGGUUACGAGAUGUCAAUGACGUUUGGUUUUGCUAGGUUUUGAGAGUUCAAUGAUGGUCGGUUUUGGUGGGUUACGAGACCUCAAUGAUGGUAGGUUUUCAGUGUCAGUUGUUUUUUUCUCUGUUAUAAGAUUUUAAAGACGGUCAGUUUGUUCCUUUGUUUUUUUAUGAGAUUUCAAAGACGGUCGGUUAUGAGUCGGACUGUCGGUUACGAGAUCUCGUUGAUCUCAGUAAUGGUAGGUUUUGGUGGGUUACGAGACCUCAGUGACAGUAGGUCGUUUAUUUUCUGUUAUAAGAUUUUAAAGAUGGUCAGUUUUGUUCCUUGGUUUUUUUGAGAUUUCAAAGACAGUCAGUUUUGUUCCUUUACGAGAUUUGAGUGACGGUCAGAUUUGUUCAGUUACGAGAUUUCAAUGACGGUCAGACUUGCUCAGGGACAAUAUUUCAAAGACAGCUGGUUUUGUUCCUUUCUUUUUUAUAUAAGAUUUAAAAGACAGUCGGUUUUGUUUUGUUACGAGAUUUCAAUGACAGUCAGUUACGAGAUCUCAUUGAUCUCAAUGACGGUAGGUUUUGGUGGGUUACGAGACCUCAAUGACGGUAGGUCGUUUUUUUUCUGUUAUAAGUUUUUAAAGACGGUCAGUUUUGUUCCUUUGUUCUUUUAUGAGAUUUCAAAGACAGUUGGUUUUGUUCGGUUACAAGAUCUCAAUGACAGUUGGUUUUGCUAGGUUAUGAGAUUCCAAUGAUGGUCGGUUUUGGUGGGUUACAAGAUCUCAAUUACGAUUGGGUUUACUAGGUUAUGAGAUUUCAAUGAUGGUCGGUUUUGGUGGGUUACGAGACCUCAAUGAUGGUAGGUCUUUUUUUCUGUUAUAAGAUUUUAAAGAUGGUCAGUUUUGUUCCUUUGUUUUUUAUGAGAUUUCAAAGACAGUCGGUUUUGUUCCUUUACGAGAUUUGAGUGACGGUCGGAUUUGUUCAGUUACGAGAUUUCAAUGACGGUCAGACUUGUUCAGUUACAACAUUUCAAAGACAGUCGGUUUUGUUUUGUUACGAGAUUUCAAUGACGGUCGGUUACGAGAUCUCAGUGAUCUCAGCGAUGGUAGGUUUUGUUGGGUUACGAGACCUUAGUGAUGGUCGAUUUUGCUGGGUUACGAGAUCUCAGUGAUGAUAGGUUUUGUUGGGUUACGAGAUCUAAAUGACGGUCGGUUUUGGUGGGUUAUGAGAUGUUAAUGACGGUUGGUUUUGUUAGGUUAUGAGAGUUCAAUGAUGGUCGGUUUUGGUGGGUUACGAGACUUCAAUGAUGGUAGGUUUUUUAGUGUCAGUUUUUUUUUUUUUCUGUUACAAGAUUUUAAAGACGGUCAGUUUGUUCCUUUACGAGAUUUGAGUGACGGUCAGAUUUGUUCAGUUACGAGAUUUCAAUGACAGUCAGACUUGCUCAGAUACAAUAUUUCAAAGACAGGCAGUUUUAUCCCUUUUUUUAUUUUUUUAUUAAGAUUUAAAAGACAGUCGGUUUUGUUUCGUUACGAGAUUUCAAUGACGGUCGGUUACGAGAUCUUAUUGAUCUCAAUGAUGGUCGGUUUUGGUGGGUUACGAGACCUCAAUGAUGGUAGGUUUUCAGUGUCAGUUUUUUUUUUCGGUUAUAAGAUUUUAAAGACAGUCAGUUUGUUCCUUUGUUUUUUUAUGAGAUUUCAAAGACAGUCGGUUUUGUUCCUUUACGAGAUUUGAGUGACGGUCAGAUUUGUUCAGUUACGAGAUUUUAAUGGCGGUCAGACUUGUUCAGGUACAAUAUUUCAAAGACAGUCUGUUUUGCUUCGCUACGAGAUUUCAGUGAUCUAAGCGAUGGUAGGUUUUGGUGGGUUACGAGAUCUCAGUGAUGGUCGGUUUUGCUGGGUUACGAGAUAUCAGUGAUGGUAGGUUUUGUUGGGUUAUGAGAUCUCAAUGACGGUCUGUUUUGGUGGGUUACGAGAUCUCAGUGAUGGUUGGUUUUGCUAGGUUAUGAGAUUUCAAUGAUGGUCGGUUUUGGUGGGUUAUGAGACCUCAAUGAUGGUAGGUCGUUUUUUUCUGUUAUAAGAUUUUAAAGACUAUCAGUUUUGUUCCUUUGUUUUUUUAUGAGAUUUCAAAGACAGUCGUUUUUUUUCAAUGAUGUUCGGUUACGAGUCGGACGGUCGGUUACAAGAUCUUAUUGAUGGUAGGUUUUGGUGGGUUACGAGAUCUCAGUGAUGGUCUGUUUUGGCGGGUUACGAGAUCUCAGUGAUGGUAGGUUCUGUUGCGUUACGAGAUCUAAAUGAUGGUCGGUUUUGGAGGGUUACGAGAUGUCAAUGACGUUUGGUUUUGCUAGGUUUUGAGAGUUCAAUGAUGGUCGGUUUUGGUGGGUUAUGAGACCUCAAUGAUGGUAGGUUUUCAGUGUCAGUUGUUUUUUUCUCUGUUAUAAGAUUUUAAAGACGGUCAGUUUGUUCCUUUGUUUUUUUUAGGAGAUUUCAAAGACGGUCGGUUAUGAGUCGGACUGUCGGUUACGAGACCUCAGUGAUGGUAGGUCGUUUAUUUUCUGUUAUAAGAUUUUAAAGAUGGUCAGUUUUGUUCCUUGGUUUUUUUAUGAGAUUUCAAAGACAGUCGGUUUUGUUCCUUUACGAGAUUUAAGUGACGGUCAGAUUUGUUCAGUUACGAGAUUUCAAUGACGGUCAGACUUGCUCAGGGACAAUAUUUCAAAGACAGCUGGUUUUGUUCCUUUCUUUUUUAUAUAAGAUUUAAAAGACAGUCGGUUUUGUUUUGUUACGAGAUUUCAAUGACGGUCGGUUACGAGAUCUCAUUGAUCUCAAUGAUGGUAGGUUUUGGUGGGUUACAAAACCUCAAUGACGGUAGGUCGUUUUUUUUCUGUUAUGAGAUUUUAAAGACGGUCAGUUUUGUUCUUUUCUUCUUUUAUGAGAUUUCAAAGACAGUUGGUUUUGUUCAGUUACAAGAUUUCAAUGACGGUCGGUUACGAGAUCUCAGUGAUCUCAGCGAUGGUAGGUUUUGUUGGGUUACGAGAUCUCAGUGAUGAUAGGUUUUGUUGGGUUACGAGAUCUAAAUGACAGUCGGUUUUGGUGGGUUAUGAGAUGUUAAUGACGGUUGGUUUUGUUAGGUUAUGAGAGUUCAAUGAUGGCCGGUUUUGGUGGGUUACGAGACCUCAAUGAUGGUAGGUCAUUUUUUUUCUGUUAAAAGAUUUUAAAGACGGUCAGUUUUGUUCCUUUGUUUUUUUUUAUGAGAUUUCAAAGACAGUCAGUUUUGUUCAGUUACAAGAUUUCAAUGACGUUCGGUUACGAGUCGGACGGUCGGUUACAAGAUCUUAUUGAUGGUAGGUUUUGGUGGGUUACGAGAUCUCAGUGAUGGUCUGUUUUGGCGGGUUACGAGAUCUCAGUGAUAGUAGGUUUUGGUGGGUUACGAGAUGUCAAUGACGUUUGGUUUUGCUGGGUUUUGAGAGUUCAAUGAUGGUCGGUUUUGGUGGGUUACGAGACCUCAAUGAUGGUAGGUUUUCAGUGUCAGUUGUUUUUUUCUCUGUUGUAAGAUUUUAAAGAUUUCCUUUGCUUUUUUAUGAGAUUUCAAAGACGGUCGGUUAUGAGUCGGACUGUCGGUUACGAGAUCUCGUUGAUCUCAGUAAUGGUAGGUUUUGGUGGGUUACGAGACCUCAGUGAUGGUAGGUCGUUUAUUUUCUGUUAUAAGAAUUUAAAGAUGGUCAGUUUUGUUCCUUUGUUUUUUUUAUGAGAUUUCAAAGACAGUCGGUUUUGUUUCUUUACGAGAUUUGAGUGACGGUCAGAUUUGUUCAGUUACGAGAUUUCAAUGACGGUCAGACUUGCUCAGGGACAAUAUUUCAAAGACAGCUGGUUUUGUUCCUUUCUUUUUUAUAUAAGAUUUAAAAGACAGUCGUUUUGUUUUGUUACGAGAUUUCAAUGACGGUCGGUUACGAGAUCUCAUUGAUCUCAAUGAUGGUAGGUUUUGGUGGGUUACGAGACCUCAAUGACGGUCGGUUUUCAGUGUUAGUCAUUUUUUUCUGUUUUAAAAUUUGAAAGACGGUUGGUUUUGUUCCUUUGUUUUUUUAUGAGAAUUCAAUGACGGUCAGUUUUGUUUCGUUACGAGAUCUCAGUGAUGGUAGGUUUUGGUGGGUUACGAGAUCUCAGUGAUGGUCGGUUUUGCUGGGUUACGAGAUCUCAAUGACGGUUACUUUUGCUAGGUUAUGAGAUUUCAGUGAUGGUCUGUUUUGCUGGGUUAUGAGAUCUCAGUGAUGGUAGGUUUUCAGUGUCAGUCGAUUUUUUUUCUGUUAUAAGAUUUCAAAGACGGUCUGUUUUGUUUCAUUACAAGAUUUCACUGACGGUUGGUUUUGUUCCAUUACGAGAUUUCAAUGAUGGUCAGUUUUGGUGGGUUACGGGAUCUCAAUGACGGUCGAUUUUCAGUGUCAGUUGUUUUUUUGUGUUAUAAAAUUUGAAAGACAAUUGGUUUUGUCCCUUUGUUCUUUUAUGAGAUUUCAAUGACAGUCGAUUUUGUUCGGUUACAAGAUCUCAAUGACGGUCGGUUUUGUUUCAUUACGAGAUUUCAAUGACGGUCGGUUACGAGAUCUCAGUGAUGGUAGGUUUUGUUGGGUUACAAGAUCUCAAUGACGGUCCGUUUUGUUGGUUUACAAGAUCUCAAUGAUGGUCGGUUUUGGUGGGUUACGAGAUUUGAGUGACGGUCGGAUUUGUUCAGUUACGAGAUUUCAAUGACGGUCGGUUUUGUUCCUUUGCGAUGACGGUCGAGAUUUCAGUGACGGUCGGUUUUGUUUCUUUGCAAGAUCUCAAUGAUAGUUGGUUUUGUUCCUUUUCAGGAUUUCAAUGAUGGUCGGUUUUGUUCCAUUACGAGAUUUCAAUGAUGGUCGCUUUUGGUGGGAUACGAGAUCUCAAAGACGGUUGGUUUUGUUUCUUUGGUUUUUUUUAAUGAGAUUUCAAAGACAGUUGGUUUUGUUCCUUUAUGAGAUUUGAGUGACGGUCGGAUUUGUUCAGUUACAAGAUUUCAAAGACAGUCGGUUUUGUUUCAUUGUGAGAUUUCAAUGACAGUCGGUUUGUUCCGUUGCAAGUUUUCAGUGACGGUUGGUUUUGAUCCAUUGCGAGUUUUCAAUGAUGGUCAAUUAUAUUCGGUUACAAGAUUUCAAUGACAUCUGUUUUAUUCGGUUAUGAGAUUUCAAUGAUGGCCAGUUUUGUUUGGUUACGAGUCGGUUUUGGUGGGUUACGAGAUCUCAAUGACGGUCGGUUUUCAGUGUCAGUCGGUUUUUUUCUGUUAUAAGAUUUCAAAGACGGCCGGUUUUGUUCCUUUACGAGAUUUCAGUGACGGUCAGUUUUGUUUCUUUGCGAGAUCUCAAUAACAGUUGGUUUUGUUCCUUUUCAAGAUUUCAAUGAGAGUCGGUUUUGUUCCUUUACAAGAUUUGAGUGACAGUCAGAUUUUUUGAGUUACAAGAUUUAAAAGGCAGUCGGUUUUGUUCCGUUGCGAGUUUUCAAUGACAGCCAGUUAUAUUCGGUUACAAGAUUUCAAUAGUAUCUGUUUUAUUUGGUAAUGAGAUUUCAAUGAUGGCCGGUUUUGUUUGGUUAUGAAUCGGUUUUGGUGGGUUCCAAGAUCUCAGUGAUGGUAGGUUUUGGUGAGGUACGAGAUCUCAGUAACGGUCGGUUUUGGCGGGUUAUGAGAUCUCAAUGAUAGUCGGUUUUGCCUGGUUAUGAGAUUUCAAUGAUUGCCGGUUGUUUAUUUAUUAUUUAUUAUGGAAAGCUGUUCAUUCAUGUUGUUUUGUGUUUCCAUUUAGAACAAAGUGUGACGAAAACGAAAAUAAAAAUAUGAAUAAAACCCACAUGACAGAAUAUGUGAUAAAUGAAUGGUUUCUUAGUUUUUGUUUUGUUUUAGUUUAGUUUCUGUUUUGAAGACAAAAAAAAAAAUCAUACCUUUUGACACUUACCUUCUUUGGAGCAGGUAUCAUCUGGAGUUGAUGCAUUGUCCUCAGGUUUAUGACACUUCUUUUGAUAUUGUAACACACUGUACCACAGGCAGAGCCAAAAAAAAAAAAAAAUUCAUCUUUCCCUCUCUUACUCUCUCUCUUUCUCACACACAGAUUAUCCUGAACAGACCAGCUAAUUUAGUUUGCACUAAAUGCUCAUUCAGUUUCAGCUUGCUAAACCAUUUAAUCUGGUUUAUACUUAAUAUAUAUUUGAGCAUUUUUUGUCCAAAUAUUUCAUAAAGCCUUCGCUAAGCAAUCAACAGAAAUAUAUAUCAGUAAACCCAAUUAAUCAGACUGUACAUCUAAUCCUCAGAGCCCAAUUUUCAUUCAUGUUAAAUAUGACACAUAUCCUGACUAAAGUCGAUCUGACUGGACAAAGGUAAAGAAAGGUUGGCAGUUAAAAACAGUCCCAAGAUCAGUCAAAAAACAGACACACAGAGCACAGGCUGGCAGUUUAAAUGAAUGAUAAAUGUAUUUUUGCUUUUUUUUUUUUUUAAACUUAAAUCAUUGAGCAUCAUACACAGAGGCAUAGAAUAACUGUAAACCAGAACCGAAAGAUACAGAGAAGAUUUAUGUACAAAUACAAAAUUAAUCUGUCAGUCUUUCUUCCAUAGAAGGAAGGAAGGAAAGUAUGCUGGUGAAAAGAAAAGAAAAAAAGAAAGAGAAAGAUCGCAGGAUGUAUUGGGUAAGCUACUGACACACACUUCGGUUUCUUUAUAAAUAUUUUUCUGUCAUCCACUCCUGGAUUGCGAGAAAUGUGGGGAGUGGCAGGUACUGUAGGUUUCUCCUGGGGUCAGUUGUUAAAAAGGAACAUGGAGGUAUGUGUGUGUGU